UUUGUUUUUUUUGUUUGUUUUUUUUUUGUUUGUAAACUGUAGCGUUAUCUUUUGUAUGUUUUCAUCUGUUUUCCUUCCGCGGUGCGGUUGCUGUUUUGCGCAUGCGCACAAACGUCUAGCCUGUUAAAAUGUAACUUGUAAAAGUAACAAGGGUAUAUGCUGCUUUUCGUGAAGUAGAUUGUUCAUUUAUAUUGUUACAGUGGCCGACAUCAGAAAGAUGGACAUUUACUUUGCUCUGUGUUCUUCUUUCAGUGUUCCUCUCUGGGUGGCGCCAUUACUGCACGCCGCGUCCAGACUGAAGGGUGACCCGGCCAGGCGGAGGAAAGCCUACCGCCUCAUCCAGCGGAGAUUACUGCAUCACGGUGUUGGAUGCGACAAGCUGCACAAACCCACGUACAUUUAUCCGGCUGAAGUGAAGCAGCUGAUCCGCGCCGCCUUCCCUAAGGAAAUCUGUGACUAUCACGACCCGCAACAUCAAAACGUGGUCGCUGUCACCAUGGAUGACCUAAAGGGUGUGAGUUCGGCUGAUCAGAGCUGUUAGACAGACCAGGAGCAAAUCUAACAACUGUUAUCAUUUGUGUGAAAUGUUAAUGUUAACGUUACAUUUGUUUUUGAUCAAUGCAAUCUUGUUUCCCCUGUGCAUGUUGACUGGUUUUCAAUAAAGUUUCAAUAAAGUUGAUUAGAAUAUAUAUAUAUAUAUAUAUAUAUAUAUAUAUAUAUAUAUAUAUAUAUAUAUACACACACACACACACACACACACACACACACACACACACACACAGCAAAAUCACUAGUAUUGAUUUAACACCCAAAGUGUUGAAUUCACACCGACAGUGUUUAUAUGAGUCCAUUGGACUCAUAUAAACACUCUGGGUGUUAAUUCAACACUAGGGAUUUUACUGUGUGUGUGUGUGUGUGUGUGUGUAUAUAUAUAUAUAUAUAUAUAUAUAUAUAUAUAUAUAUAUAUAUAUAUAUAUAUAUAUAUAUAUAUAUAUAUAUAUAUGCUAGAUUUGAAGUGUUGAUGAGUUAAACUAUUAACAACUGGACCAUAGGCCUGUAGUUUAGGGGUGAGUGAGAACUGAUGGUGGCUUUAACCCUUUAAAGCAUAAAUUAUUUAAAUACACGUACAUUCUUUUUUUAAUUAUUAUU
ensembl:lncRNA